rnacentral:rRNA from 1 species
GACAGCAGCCGCCACGGUAAUACAGAGGGUGCGAGCGUUAAUCGGAUUUACUGGGCGUAAAGCGUGCGUAGGCGGCUUCUUAAGUCGGAUGUGAAAUCCCUGAGCUUAACUUAGGAAUUGCAUUCGAUACUGGGAAGCUAGAGUAUGGGAGAGGAUGGUAGAAUUCCAGGUGUAGCGGUGAAAUGCGUAGAGAUCUGGAGGAAUACCGAUGGCGAAGGCAGCCAUCUGGCCUAAUACUGACGCUGAGGUACGAAAGCAUGGGGAGCAAACAGGAUUAGAUACCCCGGUAGUCCCUGUCUCUUAUAC